rnacentral:lncRNA from 1 species
AAUUUUUUCAGGUGCUGUUGUCCGUCCUGCCGGAACGCUCUCCAUGGGCCCCUCGUGGGAACAGUUCACAUGGAAUAUAUUUAUUCAACACCCUGAACAAAGAGGUAAAUGCCAACAAUACCACCGUCAUUAUUCGGCAGCAAUUAAGAGAGAUUUCUUGAUGCAAGGUGUGAAUACCAGCAGAUGAAAUCUUCCCCCAUCUCUCCCCUCACACACACCCCCGAGGUAGCUCUUCUCUAAAGUGAUAACCAAUUUUGCUGGCGUGCCUUUGGUUUUUAAUUAAGAUUUCUCAAGAGUUAUCCUGCACGAGAGGCAG